GACGAACGCUGGCGGCGUGCCUAAUACAUGCAAGUAGAACGCACAGUCUAUACCGUAGCUUGCUACACCAUAGACUGUGAGUUGCGAACGGGUGAGUAACGCGCAGGUAACCUGCCUGGUAGCGGGGGAUAACUAUUGGAAACGAUAGCUAAUACCGCAUAAUAUUGAUUAUUGCAUGAUAAUUGAUUGAAAGAUGAUAUUGCAUCAAUACAAGAUGGACCUGCGUUGUAUUAGCUAGUAGGUGAGGUAACGGCACACCUAGGAGACGAUACCUAGCCGACCUUGAGGGGGGGUCGGCCCCCCUGGGCCUGGUACACCGCCCAGACUCCUUCGGGGGGCAGCAGUAGGGAAUCUUCGGCCAUUGACCAAAAUCUGGCCGGACUACGCCGCGUGGGGGAAGAAGGUUUUCGGAUCGUUAAGCUCUGUUGUAUGAGGAGAACGGGUGUGAGAGUGGAAUGUUCACACUGUGACGGUAUCUUACCAGAAAGGGACGGCUAACUACGUG
rnacentral:rRNA from 1 species